UACGUAGGGGGCAAGCGUUGUCCGGAUUUAUUGGGCGUAAAGAGCUCGUAGGCGGUUCAGUUAGUCGGGUGUGAAAUCUCCGGGCUCAACCCGGAGGGGCCACCCGAUACUGCUGUGACUCGAGUCCGGUAGGGGAGUGGGGAAUUCCUGGUGUAGCGGUGAAAUGCGCAGAUAUCAGGAGGAACACCGGUGGCGAAGGCGCCACUCUGGGCCGGUACUGACGCUGAGGAGCGAAAGCGUGGGGAGCGAACAGG
rnacentral:rRNA from 1 species